rnacentral:lncRNA from 7 species
AUGAGGACAUGUUUUCUCCAACUGCGAUGCCUCACCUGGUUUAGGUCUGAAUGUUCCAAGAUAAAGAAGAUUACAAGAGAUAAUCUUGUAGAUCUACAGGGAAACAACAAGUCUUUUAUCUACCAUGUGUGGCUUCCUUUCCUCAUCCAGCCUGGCUCGCUUGGAUAUCUCCUUGUCCACCUAACUGGAAGGCUUCUCAUCCCAGGAGCUCUGCUCUGCUCUCUGCUUGGUGUGAAGUACUGUCUGCCUCUCACUCUACCCCUGGAAAGAAGGAUGAGCAGAGCCACGUGAGCAAGAAAACAAGGGAAGUGAAAUGAAAUUAAGAUGUGGUCAGCACCAUCAAAACCUGAAAACCUCACCAGUUAAUGUGAAUUCCUCUCAAGUAAGGAUCGUUUUUUCUAGAGGUAAACACUGUCAAUAAGUCAGCGUUGCGCUUUUGUUAACAGGAUAUGCUUCCCAAAACACUGGCUGUUUUGACAGAUGACUGUACCACUGGACAGUGUUUAGAAAAUAAAUAUUAUUUCCCUUGCUUUUAUCUAAAUCAGUAGUGGCCUUUUUACACUGCAGGGUCUUUGCAGCCAUAACGCAGCCAGCAAACAUUAGUUAGCUUAAGCUGUGUUUACACAGAUACUGUAUACUUAAGCAGUAGUUUUCCAGUUGGUGCAGUUGUAUCACCUCUCCAGACUGCAUGAGCUAAACUAGCAGUGUCCCCUGCUCAAAGUAACUGGGUCUACGGAAGGGGAUGUGUGGGUAGCAUGCAGCCAAUUUUCAUAUGUAUCUGUCCUCUUUCACCUCCACAAAAAUGAGAAUGAGCAAUACAUCUACAAGCUGAACCAAAGUGACCUCCUAGAGUGCUAGUUGGAAGCUUUUGAGGCACUUGGAAAACACAGUAACCAACACCCGAAGAAAUGGAAGGCACUUUUAGAGUGUACUCCACUGCACUUCAAAGCAUGGUGUCAGAACAAAGGAUGCUAUACGGGCUGGGCCUGGGAGCUGAAUGCCCAGGAGAGCUGGGAUGGGAAGGGCACAGCCAUCAAAAUUGGUUGUUCCAGCCACUUCUCACAGUGGGGGACUGGGCCUUCAUCCCUCUGUUAAAAAGUCUCAGAAGUUCUAAGAAAUCUGCCCAAUCUGAAUUGAAUUCUAAUUUGCCUUGAAAGCAAUAUUUUAGCAGGAAAGUGCACAAAUGGUGUUGCACAAAAUAAUACUUCAUCAACAGUUUCCCACUAAACUCAAACCUUUAUGGUGUGCAAUCAGAAAUUGUAACGUAUAGCACUGUCUUUCAAAGACAGAAUUGCUCUAUUAGGAUGACUGUUGGUCAUGAGAAAGCUAAAUAUACUUGAUAGGGCACUUAAUGAAGAGUAAACCAUUAGAUCCAUGUAGAAAUCAAUACAGCUGUGUAAUAUUUGGUAACUUUUUUUUUUUUUUUCUUACACUGAUGUUAAUUUCAUUUAAAUUGAUUUGAACUACAUUCUUGUAUACAGAAAUGGCCACUGAGACCCCAUGUAACUCUGACGACAAGAAAGCUAAAGUGUGUCACUAGAAAGUGUGGGCUUUGAGGCACUGUUCUUCAUGCAGUUGUGAUAGAAAUUAACUAAUGACUUUUCAUGUCAGAUAAGUCAUUGCAAUUCGGGCAGUUUUUUGCUACUCUAGAUACCCAGUGGUUCCAAAGUGAGGCUGCUUCUAUUUUACCCAGCUGUUCAACGUCUUAGCUAUCCUUCCAUGACAGCCUGGCAGGACAGACUAUUCGGUGCUCAAUUCUGGGCUAACACCGUACUGUUACUAAUGCAUCCACAGUGACACAGGCAGAAU